CGCUUAUUAAGAAAGACGGAGGGAUUAGACCCAACGAUGUCUUAGCAACCUGUGCCAACAAGGUGCUAAAUUCUAAUCUCAGCAGUAGCGAGAGAAGAUAAGUU
rnacentral:ncRNA from 2 species